UCUGCAUGCCUUUUGAUCACUGUCUUGGGACAGUCUAAUAUUAUUUCACUGUAGGGUAACAACAAGUCUGCAACUGUUUCUUUGUGGAAUAUUUGUGCAUAGGAGAACUGUCUAACAGAUUAAUAUAUGGAAUGUUAAUCAAUUGUGGCUGUGACUGCCUGCACGUACAUGUCUGUAUGUCACAAGGUGUGUGUGUACAAAUAUCCAUGGGAGAUAAAUUUCAUUUUUGUCCCUGGUUGACCAUGCCUAUCUUCAAAUGGUGCAAAUAUUCCUACUUUCAGAGCAACUAGUAUUGAUGCUGUCCUCUGUGUUUCAGAUUUGAAACUUGCGUCUCACUGGUCAUGUGUGGAUGCUGCUUCCUGGCUUACAUGUGUGCAUAUACAAACUAUGUACAAGCUGAAGUGUGAGCCUGGCUGUGCAGACCUAUGCCUUAUAUUUGAUUGAGGAAACACCUUCAAACAAUUAAAAUAUGUUCUAGUCUCCUUAAGAACAGUGCUGACAACUGGAUAUUACAGGAUGAAUGGGACCAUUUUUGUGAUCAAAUUUUUAAGUGAAGAUGCCAAAUUUCUCACAGCAAAGUAAAAUUCCUUAAUGACAUUUAGAUGUAUGUAUUUUGAAGGAAAAGAAGAAAAGCAGGUGAACACUAGGAAUGGCGGUCUUAGUUACAGGACAAAGUCUGUACAGAAUUUAUAACAGUCUUGAAUGCUUCAAUACAGAAUGGGAGUGACUAGAUAGAAAGCGACUCUGCAGAGAAGGACCUGUUGGACAAAGAAUUGUCCAUGAGCUAGCAGUGUGUCUUUUUGGCCAAGAAGGAUAAUGGUGUCCUAGGUGGGUGUUAGAGAUCAUUGGCAGCAAGUUCUGGGAGGUGAUCCUGCCCCUCUAUUCAGUCCUGGUCAAAUUUGGACUGCUGUGUCCAGUUCUGGGCUCCUCAGUGCAAUGGAUAUGAUUAAGGAACUGGAACAUCUCUAUUUCACAGAAAGACUUAAAAAGUUCGGCCUGUGCAGCCUCAAGAAGAGGUGACUGAGAGGGGACUUCAUCAAUUCUUCCAGAGUCUGCAGGGAGGGGUCAGAGGAGGGACCAUGAUCUGCUUAGAGGUGCUGAGCAACAGGCAGUGAGUGAUGCACAGGAAGCUCCAUCUGAACAUGAAGAACCUUACUGUGUGAGUGAUUGUGCUCUGGAACAGAUUGCUGGAGAGGCUGGGGAAUCUCCCCCACUGGAGAUAUUCAAGAACCACUUGGACACAAUCCUGUGCUAUGUGCUCCAGGAUAACCCUGCAUGAGCAGGAAGUUUGCACCAGAUGACCCACAGUCCCACAGCAGUACCUUCCAACCAGACACAUUCUGUGAUUCUGUUAUUUUGUGAAUAUGUGAUUUUAUUUGUGAAACACUUUUCUUCAUUAGCUUUUGGACUAAGUAGGAGAAUUAUAGAUAAGCUUAAAAUUUGGUUUCAUUAUGUUAAAAAUAUUUAUUGUGUGCUGUUAAUCUUAACAAUUUUGAAAUCACUGCAAAAUAUGACUUAUUCCUUAGGCUAGAAAAAGUUCCACCCAAGUAGGUCAUAUUCCAAAAAUCAAAUAGACAAGAGUGUCCUCUUUGAUUUAACUUUGGAAGAAUAUUAAUUAUUUUAGUCUAAUACUAAAAUUGGACAUUUCUUUAAUUUUUCCUUAAAUAAAAGACUCAUCUCUCAUAGAGGAGAAAACA